GUGGGCUGUGGUGCCCGGGCCGCCACGCCCAGCUCAGAGGGGCUCUGGGUGGCGGAUGCCACACCCACCUCCUUUCUCUUUUCUCGAGUGCAGAUACCAACGAUUGCAACCCUCUGCCCUGCUACAAUGGCGGUGUCUGUGUCGAUGGCGUCAACUGGUUCCGCUGCGAGUGUGCUCCCGGCUUCGCGGGCCCCGACUGCCGCAUCAUGAACUGUUCACGUGGAGGAAGCCUGAAAGGCCAGGAAC